AAGGCAGGCAAAGCUAGAGAGUAAACAACUGGACACCACUGGCUUUGAAGGUUCCAUGAAGGCAGUGCCAGGGAACCGAAAGGGCCUUGAUGGGAAGGUGAGACCCAACCGGCAGCCUGUUCCACGUCUGAAAAGCCCAGGGACCCCAGCAUUCAGCACAGCAAGCUCUGCUUCACCCCGAGGCUUAAGUAAAACUUGGUCCCCUCCUAGCCAUAUCUCCAUGGCACCUUGAGAUUCACACGCUCCCCUUUCUGGGGGGUGGUGGGGGACACGCUAUUGUCUGAUGUCACCACACUGCUUCUGCAUGGACUAAAUGGCCCAGAAAUUUAAGUUCCAGGCAACGCAGAGCUGAGAACCAGUUCUCUGGGACUGAUCAGGAAUUUGGGGUGGUCUCUGCAGCCCCUCCCUGAUAAGCUAAGAGAUCAGCACCACCCCCCACCCCAGCUCCCACCUGCACAAGCAGGGUUCUGAAUACAACUGAGAGUCAUA